rnacentral:rRNA from 1 species
GUGCUAAUACCGCAUAACCAUAGUUACCGCAUGGUAACUAUGUAAAAGGUGGCUAUGCUACCGCUUUUGGAUGGGCCCGCGACGCAUUAGCUAGUUGGUGGGGUAAAGGCUUACCAAGGCAAUGAUGCGUAGCCGAACUGAGAGGUUGAUCGGCCACAUUGGGACUGAGACACGGCCCAAACUCCUACGGGAGGCAGCAGUAGGGAAUCUUCCACAAUGGGCGAAAGCCUGAUGGAGCAACGCCGCGUGGGUGAAGAAGGUCUUCGGAUCGUAAAACCCUGUUGUUAGAGAAGAAAGUGCGUGAGAGUAACUGUUCACGUUUCGACGGUAUCUAACCAGAAAGCCACGGCUAACUACGUGCCAACAGCCGCGGUAAUACGUAGGUGGCAAGCGUUAUCCGGAUUUAUUGGGCGUAAAGAGAACGCAGGCGGUCUUUUAAGUCUGAUGUGAAAGCCUUCGGCUUAACCGGAGUAGUGCAUUGGAAACUGGGAGACUUGAGUGCAGAAGAGGAGAGUGGAACUCCAUGUGUAGCGGUGAAAUGCGUAGAUAUAUGGAAGAACACCAGUGGCGAAAGCGGCUCUCUGGUCUGUAACUGACGCUGAGGUUCGAAAGCGUGGGUAGCAAACAGGAUUAGAUACCCUGGUAGUCCACGCCGUAAACGA